rnacentral:rRNA from 1 species
UACAGAGGUCCCGAGCGUUGUUCGGAUUCACUGGGCGUAAAGGGUGCGUAGGUGGCAUGUUAAGUUUGAUGUGAAAGCUCAGGGCUCAACCCUGAAAUGGCAUUGAAUACUAGCGUGCUGGAGGUUUGGAGGGGGGACUGGAAUUCUCGGUGUAGCAGUGAAAUGCGUGGAUAUCGAGAGGAACACUCGUGGCGAAGGCGAGCUACUGGACAACAUCUGACGCUGAGGCUCGAAGGCUAGGGGAGCAAAAGGG